AGAGACAUCCUGGAUCUAUCUGGUUAUUUCUCCAGGGGUGGUGUCUUCUCUGGAUCUUCAGGUUCCCCAGGUGCUGGUGUUAAUGCUGGCUUUGCCCCAGGCCCAGAAGGUAAUUCAAUUCCUUUUUGAAGGUCCUCUCCGUAUGUAGCCAAAAAUUUGUCUCUCUCUUCCAAUGUUCUAACUUUGACCUUUCUCCCUUUAAAGGUAAAAGAUAUUCCUUGGGGAAAUUCCCACCUGAAUGGAAUUGCGUUGCUCCUUAGUAGUUUAGCAAGUUCAGAAUAGGCGGCUCUAAGAUCCAGCAGUUGUCUUGGAAUAUCUUUAUAAAUUUCAAUUCUUCUGUCCAAAACCUCCAGUGACUUUCCGUAAUGUAGGCCCAAAAUCUUAUCCCUUUCCUCCUUUGAUCUCAAUGUAAUCAAACAGUCUCUGGGCCUCUCCUUCUUUGUGAAUCUUCCAAGUCUGAAAGCCGACACAAUUUUAAAAUCCUUUUCUUCCAAAUUCCAGAACUUGGAAAAUUCUUUGGUCAAAAACUCAGUUAAAUUUCCUUCUUCUGCCUCUUGUAAUGAUCUAAUCCUCAAAUUAUUCUCACGAUUUCGCAGUUCUAUCAUGGAAAGAUAAGUCUGAUGUUCCCCAACUUGUUUGGUGAGUGGUCUUACCUCUUGCUCUAAAUUUUCCAAUUUUUGUCUAGUAUCCUCAGCCAAUUUCCGAUUUUCUGCUGAGGCCUCCGUUAACUGUCCAAUUGCUUGUGUAUUCUGUACAACUUGUAUGGUUAAUUUAUUUAGACAUUCUGUAUUUUUGUCAAUCUUUGCUGAUUGCGCAUCUACUUUCUUGUCCAAAGCUUCCAAUUUUUCAAAGAUUUUGUCUAGAACAGAAACAGAUACUCCUGAGGCCAUAUCUUCCAAUUGUAACUGCUCUGCUUCACCCUCUCCCUCUUUUGCCUGUGGCAAGGCAACUUCUUCAAGUUCUACUUCUGAGGGCAAAGUAGGUACAGAUGAUCUACGUGUCUGCGAGGCUGAGGUUAGAGUUGUUAAAGUUGUUUGUCUAACUCUCCCUCUUUUCCUUGUGCCACUCAUUCCAACGUUGUCUAUCAGUCAAGGUCACACUGAGUUUUUCCCAUGGGAAUAGAAAGGCCCAGAGCAAGCAAACAACAAGGGAAUCGAAAGUAAAUGUAAAUGUAAAGUCACUGUUUUCAUCCAAUCCUCUAGAGGGAGCUUAAAAUGUCUUUCAGAGUCUAAUUUAAUGUCCAAGAACCUUCAAAUAUAAAUAUUUAGCAGAGUUUAUAAGUAGUCACUUUGUUACAGACAGUGCUUAUUUAUCUCCAAAAAGAAUGUUUCAAAUUUAAAAAGUCUCAAUACCCUCAGAUUGUUGCAAGUUCCAAUAUACAGUAUCCAAAUCUGCAAUACUGACAGCUCAAUUUCUCAAUGCUCAGGCAGCUCCUGACUCUGGGUUUCACCUUCUAAUUUGUAAUCCAAUAAAAGGGGAAAGUCAAGUGCAAGUUAAAAUUCCAAGUCUUUAGCUUAAAGUCUUUACUUUAAAUUGCAAGUUCAGUAGAUGCUUAGAUCUGUAAAGUUUAAAAUCUCUUCCUUUCAGCCUCCACUCCUCCAACUUAGUUGCUUUUUUCAAGUUCAAUGGCUGCGGAAGACGGACUUCCUGUUUCCACGUCUCUCCGCUUUCAGCCAAGUUCAAGCCAAUUUAAGGUUUUUCAUUUAAAGUCUCUGAUUUCAAGUGAUUCAGUCUUUACUCACGAGUAAGUUGCUUUUCGUCCGAAUCCGUAUUUUAGCAGGAAAAAGGAUCAGCGCUCACCGGCAGCAGCAGCGCGGCUUCACUCCGCAGACUGUGAAGCAGCUCUCAGCGCCGCAACCCCCCUCCACGCUCCGGAGCCCCUUACGAGGUUCCUUCUGCGUUUGGAGGGUCACUUAAGGCGCCCACCGAGCCUCAAGACCCCAAGCUCUUGCUGCCUGGGGUUUUCCGGAGUGGGUCUCCGCUUCGCCGUAGCGGACGACCCGUUUUCUGCGGAGCCUCCUCUCCCGUUCAGAAGAGGACCGCCAUUGCCGUUCGCGCCGCCCCUCGGAAGU
rnacentral:lncRNA from 1 species